CAUUAGUUACCUCGGCUGCAGGAUAAUGCCUAUUUGUAUGCAACAGCAACAGAAGACCAAACUAAUGUCAGAUCGGUGAAGGAUAUGGCAGAUGGAGAGUGGUGGGAGAGUUCAAACCAGAAGGCAGAGGAAGACUUUGCUCACCCCACUGUUUGGAAGGCCCAGAGAAGAAAUGGUACAGCAGUUGAAUUAGAUUGUGCCAAGUGCAGCUCUUGUUUUUGAGUA